rnacentral:lncRNA from 1 species
AUGUCCGUAGAUGGACCUCGGGAGCAGUGCUUUGGCAAGGAAAUAAUUUUUAUUCAACUCUCCACACUAUUAUUGCACACCAUCGGUAGAUUUUUUUAUUUUUUUAUUCAUCUUCAGCUAGUGGACGACAACGAAGUGACAAUUGAUGGCAGGCUGGGUUCGGAUUAGGCCUUGUUUAGGUGGGAGAUUGUGUCGGAAAGAUGUCGGUAUAAGUUUUUAGAAACUAAUAAAAAAAUAAAUUAUAUAACUUGUCUGAAAACGGCAAGACAAAUCCAUUAAGCAUAAUUAAUGUAUCAUUAGCACAUGUGGGUUACUGUAGUACUUAAGACUAAUUAUGGACUAACUAGGCUUAAAAGAUUCGUCUCGUGUUUUUCAACCAAACUGUGUAAUUAGUUUAUUUUUUUAUCUACAUUUAAUGUUCCAUGCAUGUGUCCAAAUAUUCGAUGGGAUGGAUGGAAUUUUUUUGGGUGGG